rnacentral:rRNA from 1 species
AUUGAACGCUGGCGGCAGGCCUAACACAUGCAAGUCGAACGAGUGGCGGACGGGUGAGUAAUGUCUGGGAAACUGCCCGAUGGCGGGGGAUAACUACUGGAAACGGUAGCUAAUACCGCAUACCAUCGGAUGUGCCCAGAUGGGAUUAGCUAGUAGGGGGGGUAACGGCUCCCCUAGGCGACGAUCCCUAGCUGGUCUGAGCGGAUGACCGGCCACACUGGAACUGAGCCACGGUCCAGACGCCUACGGGAGGCAUCAGUGGGGAAUAUUGCACAAUUGGCGCAAGCCUGAUGCAGCCAUGCCGCGUGUAUGAAGAAGGCCUUCGGGUUGUAAAGUACUUUCAGCGGGGAGGCGUUACCCGCAGAAGAAGCACCGGCUAACUCCGUGCCAGCAGCCGCGGUAAUUC